UCGAACGAACCCUUCGGGGUUAGUGGCGCACGGGUGCGUAACGCGUGGGAAUCUGCCCUUUGCUUCGGAAUAACAGUUAGAAAUGACUGCUAAUACCGGAUGAUGUCUUCGGACCAAAGAUUUAUCGGCAAAGGAUGAGCCCGCGUAGGAUUAGGUAGUUGGUGGGGUAAAGGCCUACCAAGCCGACGAUCCUUAGCUGGUCUGAGAGGAUGAUCAGCCACACUGGGACUGAGACACGGCCCAGACUCCUACGGGAGGCAGCAGUGGGGAAUAUUGGACAAUGGGCGAAAGCCUGAUCCAGCAAUGCCGCGUGAGUGAUGAAGGCCUUAGGGUCGUAAAGCUCUUUUACCCGGGAUGAUAAUGACAGUACCGGGAGAAUAAGCCCCGGCUAACUCCGUGCCAGCAGCCGCGGUAAUACGGAGGGGGCUAGCGUUGUUCGGAAUUACUGGGCGUAAAGCGUACGUAGGCGGUUAUUCAAGUCAGAGGUGAAAGCCCGGGGCUCAACCCCGGAACGGCCUUUGAAACUAGGUAGCUAGAGUCUUGGAGAGGUCAGUGGAAUUCCGAGUGUAGAGGUGAAAUUCGUAGAUAUUCGGAAGAACACCAGUGGCGAAGGCGACUGACUGGACAAGUACUGACGCUGAGGU
rnacentral:rRNA from 1 species